CAUCCUUAUGUUGUAGAAGUAGAGCAGGGUUGUUUAUAUUGCAGUCAGGUUUUAUGAGGUUAGCUUAGUUAGAGUAUGAUAGUAUUGCACAGACGUAUUAUAGAGAUUAGGGUAGGUUAAGUUAUUUGAAGCUCGAGGUUUAGUUAUCUUUGGUUAGGAGGAGUUACGGCCGAAACAUCGCCAACGCCACGUCAACGAUUCCUGGCAUCCAUAUCUACUUCAGGUAAGAUCAUCUCUGCGAUUCAAACUUUGCACUCUACAAGAAGCCGAGGACAAACUGUCUAAAACAUAGAGAUAAGUAAAUCAGGGUAAUUCAGUGUUCAUAUCAUGGUUAAUGGUAAUAAGUUAAUGUUGGCUUAAAAUAGAUUAAUGGGAAAUUAGUUAUUAUAUGAAGUAAUUUGUUAUAGGAUAUAUAUGAUUUACAGCAUCAAAGGGCAUUGCAACAACAGUCAUCAUCACAAGUAUAAAAAACCAACAUUACUGAUAAAAUUCAUGUGAAUUCACUCAGUUUGUCUUUCGCUUCUUAGUAGUAUUGAAAAGGAUUAUCCAUGAACUCUUAAGAUGAUGAAUAAUGAAACCUAAAAUUUCCAAAAACCACCGUGUGGUACUUGAGUGUAGAAUUCAGUUAGAAGUUGCAGAUCACCUAGAAGAUAUGACAUCCUUGUUAAUGUUCAGUUUCUUGUUAGAAAAUUGGUAUUAAGAUUUAGUAACAAAUUUAGUGUGAUUUGUGCAAUUCAUUAUUAAUUACACAGGAAAUUUAGACAUUAAUGAAUUCUCUUAGGCAUUAGAUUAAUUAACCUGCGUUAUUUGUUCAGUUCAAGUUUUGAUUUAGCGUGUCUACUUUUGAAUUGUUCAGUUGCACGAUCUGGCCUUUAAUCUGUAUAAUUUUAUCACCUGUAGCAGGUAACGAGUGGCUGGAACAUCGAGAAUCUGCAUUUGCAAUGCCUUCUACCACGGCUAGACAGAGAAGCUCUUUCUGAUAAAUACAGCAACAUUUCUCAUUCAGAAUUGUGACCGGAAAAGUAUGUUCCCGAAUCCUGUCAACUUAAGAGAAGAUUUGUGUGGUUCUACUUUGUUCCCUCAUUUGGGAGGCCUCAAAAAGAACUGGAGCUUUGGUGAUUGUUAGUUCCGCUUGAAGAUUGAAAGACGAGGUA